ACUCCCGUUGCUACCUGGGUUGACAUUUACAAUUCUUGUGUGAACUCGUACGUUAUACCAAACAUUUCAGACUCACUAUUUUACUUACCUGAGCCGCUCUUCCCCUGCCCCCCACCCACACCGGUCUCCCUCGUCUCUCUCCUCUCCAUUGAUCUAUAAAUAGUUCAAAAGCUCAACUACCACACUUCAACCUCCAUACACUGCUUCCUCUUCCAACAUUUUCUCUUUUACUCCGCCCAAAUUCACAGGUUGUAUUUGGUUGCAAUAUAAGCUUGUAGCAUGGCCCCGGCAGCAUCAGAUAACUCAAUAAAGCCUACUGAUGUAUGCAUCGUUGGCGUAGCCCGUACCCCAAUGGGUGGUUUUCUUGGCUCACUUUCAUCAAUACCAGCAACAAAGCUUGGAUCUAUAGCUAUUGAGCGUGCUCUUAAAGGAGCUAAUGUUGAUCCUUCACUUGUACAAGAAGUUUACUUCGGAAAUGUGCUCAGUGCAAAUUUGGGUCAGGCUCCUGCCAGGCAAGCAGCAUUGGGUGCAGGAAUACCCAAUACAGUGAUUUGUACGACGAUUAACAAAGUUUGUGCCUCUGGAAUGAAAGCAACUAUGCUUGCUGCACAGAGUAUUCAGUUGGGUAUUAAUGACGUUGUUGUAGCUGGUGGCAUGGAAAGCAUGUCCAAUGUCCCCAAGUACCUGGGAGAAGCAAGGAAGGGGUCUCGACUUGGACAUGACACGCUUGUUGAUGGAAUGAUGAAAGAUGGACUGUGGGAUGUAUACAAUGAUUAUGGCAUGGGAGUUUGUGCUGAAUUAUGUGCUGAAAAUCAUAGCAUAACUAGAGAGGAGCAGGAUGAUUACGCAGUUCAAAGCUUUGAGCGUGGCAUUGCUGCCCAAACUAGUGGUGCCUUCUCAUGGGAGAUUGCGCCAGUCGAAGUGUCUGGUGGAAGAGGAAGGCCUUCAACUGUUGUUGAUAAAGAUGAAGGUCUAGGAAAGUUUGAUGCUGCAAAGUUGAGGAAGCUCCGUCCAAGUUUCAAGGAAACUGGUGGUAGUGUUACAGCUGGCAAUGCUUCCAGCAUAAGUGAUGGUGCAGCUGCUUUAGUCUUAGUCAGUGGAAAGAAGGCCGUUGAGCUUGGGCUACAAGUGAUUGCAAAAAUCACAGGAUAUGCUGAUGCAGCUCAGGCACCAGAUUUAUUUACAACUGCACCUGCACUUGCAAUCCCAAAAGCUAUUUCAAAUGCUGGCUUAGAUGCUUCUAAGAUUGAUUACUAUGAGAUUAAUGAAGCCUUUGCGGUUGUGGCUCUUGCAAAUCAAAAGCUUCUUGGGCUUAAUCCUGAAAAAGUCAAUGUACAUGGUGGAGCCGUAUCAUUGGGGCAUCCUCUAGGAUGCAGUGGAGCUCGUAUCUUGGUCACACUCUUGGGGGUUCUGAAGCAGAAAAAUGGUAAAUAUGGAGUUGGAGGUGUUUGCAAUGGGGGAGGAGGUGCUUCAGCCCUCGUUUUAGAGCUUGUCUAAUCUGCUGCAUGAUUGCCAAGUCAGGAGAAUUGUGAUCAGUGAGAAUAUGUGGUCACUGGCACAAGGAAGGACGUUACUGGCAAGCAGAGUCUCAUCACAAUCACUUGAUUUUCUUCUUGUUACAAAUUUUUUAUGUUCUCGACAAAUAAUAGAAUUAAUAUGAAUGUAGCGAGGAAUGUAUCUUGUGUCUUCAUUGCCUUCUCCUUGAUUGUUAAACCGUUUCCGUAGUGUUAACCGAUCUAGAUGAGAUGUUUUCUUAUCUGAGGUGAAUUAAAGGCAAGAAGAAAUAGCUAAUCUUUGGCAUGUAUUAGAUAUCAGCCUUAUUCACCAUUUUCAUCCCUGAACUUUUAUAUUAAAAUCAAUUUCAUCCUUUAUGAUUUAUUUUUUUGACCAA